rnacentral:sRNA from 1 species
CAAAAACAGCUGCAGCUUUCCUUGCAUUGGAUCUCAGCUUCUCUCCUUCCUCUUCCACCAUUGCAUGCCUCAUGUUUUGGCUAUGUCAUCUCUACUAAACGACCCAUCUCCGCGUCGUUUCACUUCGACAGCCAUACCCUUCUCCUCCAAAAGCCUUGCAUUCAGAGGCUGAUCAAUAAUGAAUGGUAGCACAACAAGAACAUGCCCAAAUUGCAGAGUCUCAAUUAUUGAUCCCCAUCCAGAGUGAAACAGAGAACCCCCAACCGAUGGGUGUGCCAAGAUUUCCAUUUGGGGCACCCAUCCGAUGCAAACAAGCCCCUUCUCUGAUACACGGUCGACAAACCCUAGAGGCAGAGCAUCGGCUUCACUAUUCGCCCAAUUGGGUUUUCUGAGUGCCCAAAGAAAAGGGAGUUCUGAUAGCUCCAGCCCAUGAGCUAUCUCAAAGACUUGCUCUUUACUCAACUUAC